GGGGCUAUAGCUCAGCUGGGAGAGCACCUGCUUUGCAAGCAGGGGGUCGGCGGUUCGAUCCCGCCUAGCUCCACCA
rnacentral:tRNA from 3 species